rnacentral:rRNA from 1 species
UACAGAGGUCCCGAGCGUUGUUCGGAUUCACUGGGCGUAAAGGGUGCGUAGGUGGCAAGGUAAGUUUGAUGUGAAAUCUUCGAGCUCAACUCGGAAACUGCAUUGAAUACUAUCUUGCUUGAGGAUUGGAGGGGAGACUGGAAUUCCUGGUGUAGCGGUGAAAUGCGUAGAGAUCCGGAGGAACACCAAUGGCGAAGGCAGGGUCCUGGCUGGCACCUGACGCUCAUGUGCGAAAGCCAGGGGAGCGAACGGG